GGAAAUGAGCGCGCCUUGAUGGUACUAAUUGAAUAAGUGACAGCUAACUAUGUGCCAGCAGCUGCGGUAAAACAUAGGUCACAAGCAUUAUCCGGAUUUAUUGGGCGUAAAGGAAGCGUAGGCGGGGAGGCCGAUCCAUUGUUAAAGGCAUUUGCUCAACAAAUGUGUGCGAUGGAGAUCUCCUCCCUAGAGUUAAUCAGGGGGUACUGGAAUUCAAUGUGUAGCGGUGGAAUGCGUAGAUAUAUUGAGGAACACCAGAGGCUAAGGCGAGUACCUGGGAUAUAACUGACGCUGAGGCUUGAAAGCGUGGGGAGCAAAUGGGAUUAGAUACCCCAGUAGUCCACGCCGUAAACGAUGAGCAUUAGGUAUUUGAUGUUAGGUCGAGUGCUGUAGCUAACGCGUUAAAUGCUCCGCCUGGGUAGUAUAUAUGCAAAUAUGAAACUCAAAGAAAUUGACGGGGACCUGAACAAGUGGUGGAGCAUGUUGCUUAAUUCGAUAAUACACGAAAAACCUUACCAAGGCUUGUUAUCUACUGCAAAACUAUAGAAAUAUGGUGGAGUAUAUCAGUAAGACAGGUGGUGCAUGGCUGUCGUCAGCUCGUGUCUUGAGAUGUUUGGUUAAGUCCCGUAACGAGCGCAACCCUACUCUCUAGUUAAUUAGUUCUAGAGUGACUGAAUCGUAAGAUAUAGGAAGGAUGGGGCCAAGUCAAGUCAUCAUGCCCCUUAUGCCUUGGGCUGCAAACGUGCUACAGUGGUAGGUACAAUGUGUUGCAAUCUAGCGAUAGUGAGCUAAUCACCGAAAACCUAUCUCAGUCCGGAUAAAAGGCUGCAAUUCGCCUAUU
rnacentral:rRNA from 1 species